AUGUACAAAUUUUUCUGGUUUCUUCUCCUUUCAUGUCUGAUUUCGCUCUCUCUCCCUCUCAAUUGAGCUGGGUUCAAUACAGCUCUCUUUCGUCCUUCAAAUCCAUCCAAACACACAUUUAACAGCUACUCUCUCUCUAAAAUACUGUCUCUCUCUCUCUAACAUUACUGAUUUCUAACAAGGAAACACGCAUCCUCUCGAAAUUGUUGGCCGAUCACUGAGACUCUGACUGUUCCCAGAUGAGGAGAGAAGAAUUAGUGAAUUGGAGAAGAAUCUGAACUGUUCACUGCUAAUUACUCCUAAACUUCAUGAGCUAUAACCUCUCCAGAAGAAGCGUAAUUCUACAAACAAGGUAAAUCGUGCCAAGCAACCCACUACACAUACCGCUGGAUCAAAAAGCUUUGCACGGUUGCAUGAUGAAGAGGUAAUAUUUUAUUUCCUAUGUAGCAUACUUCAGUACUAUAUGUUGUUGUGGAUUCAAGUUUGAAGGAGAUCUGGAAUGUUUUCUAUUUUAUUUGAGGAUGGUCUAAAAGAGGUCUCAUGGAGAUGAUUUAAGCUGGGCAGAUAUGUAUGUAAUUACCCAUAAGCAGAAGAAUGGGCAGCCUAUGGAUGAUGCAUCUGCAGCUAUCAUUAAUCAGUUCAAAGAAUGAGCAAGCCAGCAACCAACACAAUCUGCUGUAGCUAGGGAUGACUUAUUCUCUUGAGUUAUGGGAGAAAAAAGACAUGUAUUUGUGGGGCAGAAGACCUAGUCACAUUCAAAUUAUGAGGACUGCUUCCGAGGCGAGAAGGGAAUCCAAUGAAGAGCAGAUGCAGAUAGUGAUGAAGAAGAUUGCACGACUGGAAGGGGAAAAGCACACUAAUAACUCAGACCGACAAGGUUCAUAACGAGAUCGGAACUUCUCAAGCACCACAACAUGCAAGAUCAUCGUCCUCUUCAAAUAAACGUGUUGUUCCAUCCUCUAAGGUUCAGGGUCUGAUUGAAGUUCUCUUGUUGAGUUCUGAAACCCUACUUUUGUCAAUGGAUUCUUACUUAGAAUAGUUCCUAUUGCCACAAUAGGAACUAUUCUAAGCAAGAAUCUAGUGUCAAAAAUAAGUGACAUUGAACUGGGACCUGACCAUUGGGAAGCAAAAAUUUUGGUACCGAUAGCACGACAAGAGCCUUUACCGAGACCGGAUAAGCUGUUUGAAAGUAGUUGGUGAUUCUGGUGGAGCAAGUGUUGCUUCGGCAUCUUCUCGUGUAUGUACUUCUCUGUCAAUUGUUUUUUCAAAGAAAGGGGAACAAAAUAUUGUCAUUCCACCUUCCAUGUUCUGUUAAAUUUGUAUCCUUCAGUUCCUUUCCAUCCUGCCAAGGUUUUUUCACUAGAAUUUAAUCCUAGAACACCAUAUUAUUUCAUUUUCGCUGCA